AGGGGUAUAGCUCAGUGGUAGAGCCUGUGCUUAGCAUGCACAAGGUCCUGGGUUCAAUCCCCAGUCCCUCCA
rnacentral:tRNA from 1 species